rfam:Beta vulgaris subsp. vulgaris Bvchr4_un.sca029.con0011.1, whole genome shotgun sequence.
GGGGGUAAUCAUACCAGCACUAAUGCACCGGAUCCAAUCAAAAUUCCGCAGUUAAACGUGGUUUGGCGCAAGUAGUAUUAGGAUGGGUGACCUCCUAGGUCCAUGUAUUGCACCCC